rnacentral:lncRNA from 1 species
UAUUUAAAAAUAAUUCAACAGUAAACCACUGAAAAAAAUAUAUAUACCCAAGAUGGGCAUCUUUUGUAUUAAGAAAGGAAACAUUGUAAAAUAUUUCUGAACUUUGUGUUUGUUGUAGAUUGAUUGUAUUGUUGACAAUUUUUUGGGGGUGUGUGUCUGUGCACGCAUGCGUGCACGUGUGUGGUUGGUUUUCUUUUAACUGACAAGCCAUCUGCGUGGUCAUAGACCACUGUUUUCCCCUUGUGAGUCAACACAUAGUGCUGCUGUGGGUUUGUUUUUGUUUUUCUGUUUUGUUUUUGUUUUUUGAUGUGUGUAUUUGCUAAUUUUUAUUCUAGUUUUUCAUUAAAUAAAUUUGACUUUCUUUUCUGUAAUUCAGGUUUUUCUCACUUUUGUACCUUUUAAGUUAGUGUCUUUUUGAUAUUCAUAAUUGCUUAAUGUCAAAAGUUUGUGUUCAGUACAUACUUUCUUUUCCUUCAAUCAAUUUAUUAGAAAUAUUUUUAAUUUAGCCCUUUUGUGAAAAUAGGAAUUCCAGAAAGGCAAGGUAGCAGAGCAGCAGUCAAGGCUGAAGUGAGUGCAGGAUGCUCUUGUCUCUCUCGGUGACUGUCCCAUGGAGCCACACGUCAGGUCAGGCUGACUCUUAGAAAGGGUAGGUUAGGGAGUAAACUCUGAUUUAUAUAAAUUUAAAAAAAAAUCAGGCUUUUCCUCUCUUCAAAUGUCUGGGGCAAAUCACAUGUUUUAAUUGGUUCUUGUAUUUAUUGGUUUUGCAAAAGAGUGCAGCAUCAUACACAGUAUUUGUAAUUAAAGUAAAUCAUUUGUUUUUUUAAAAAGG